AACUCGCCGAUCGAUCAAUUUCAGAUGAUGCUGCGGGACUAUCUUUUGUUGCUUGCUGCCCACAGACCUACUGAGGUGCAAUGUGAUAUUCUUUUUGUUUGCGAUGGGGAUUUGGAUUUAAGGAGAGAUGAAGAAAUUAACUGAAUACUAUUUCUUACCUCUUCUGGAUCUCUUCAAUCUUUGCCAGACUUCUGAAUGUACAUAGUGAGUAUGAAUGCUUCUGUUAAGACAAAUGCAUCAAUAAUAUUUGAUCCUAAGUGGAAUUAAAUUGCUCCAUUGACAUUUGAAGUGAAUGUGAAAGUAUCAUGAAAAUUGGCUCACAUACAGUCUACUAACAUAAAGCUCCAAGAUGAGCAAGCAGGGCUAUGUUAUUACUAGUUAAAUUCUCAGAAUAAAUAAUUUUAUGUAAUAUGUUCUCACAUCUUUGGUAUUCGGGACACACUAUAUUGCAAAAGAGCUUAGUAUCAACGACCUCUGUUCCUUAUUGUUUGAAUUUCUCGUCCCUGUUCUGUUUUUAACAAUGAAUUUGCAUUAGGAAAACUAUAUAGAAGGUUGAAACAAAGACAUUUAUAAGAACCUAGACUGCAAGUGAAGUUCCUGUUGUUGUCAGACCAACCAAAAGUACAGGAGGAUACUUGCUUAUUCUGGCUUGGAGGGAUGGAAAAGAAGAAAAAGUAUCCAGCUUUAGAGGAGGAGGUAUGUUAAUGUUACUGCUGAUUAAAGGUUAAUUUUGUUGGCUCCUCUUUAAGGGAACCAUCCUGAGGUCAUAAUUAAUAAGCUAGAAAUGCAGAGGUUAUUUCCUACACCUUGAUAAAGGGCUAUAGAGUAUGGCCUUUGAUAAACAAUACCAAGCUCAAUACAGAGGACCAAUUCUUCUAACAAGAGCCCAUGUUGUUUGAUAUAGAAUGAAGCACUUAGAUCUGAUAAGAGAUGACAGGGAAUGAGAAUUAUUUAUCUUGUCCUCUAGGAAUAAAAAUCGUGACAACGAUAUCAUCCAUGGAUUGAUAAAUGCCUUAUUGGGGGGGUUUUAUCAUCGGGCGCCUUUUUAACUGCUUGAAUUUUUGACAGAAGCAUAGGUUCAUUCUGUGGAUCCCAUCUAGGAUUUGAGGAAAUACUGGCCAAUUGACUAAUAACAUAGACUGAUGUGGAAAGGGUAAGGGUCUCUACACAUUUUCUGCACCUCACCCUAAUUUAAAUCAAGAGAGAAUUGAAUCUUCUACGGUCACCAAGCACACAUCACUGGCCCAGGUUCUCUGACAUUGCCUAUAUCCACACGGAAAAGAUAAACCAUGUAUUGCCUCAUCAUCUGGUCUGAUCUGGUUAUGAACUGCUUAGUAGCAAAAACAGUGGCUGAUUUUCUGAAGUCUUGUUAAACCAGCAGGUAUGGAAGGAACAACAUAUACCAUUUGUGGCUUAGGUACGAAACAAAGAAAAAGCACUGUAACAACACAAUAAUCUGGGUUUUUCUUUGUGUGUAAGGAUAUUUUAUGUAUGAGUUAUAUGAUACAUAUAAUCUGCACUUGGUGUUGCAGUGAUGCACGUUCAUAUAUGAUUAAAACAGCAGUAAUUUAGGGCUCUGUUAAUAAUAGAUACAUAUGUUGUCCUAAUCCAUGAUGCUAGCUUCUUCAAGAUAUAUUCUAAUCUUCAGGAGAUCUGGUUAUUGAAAAAUAAUAUGGCUUCUUUUUUUUUUUCCUCCUCAAGAGGUGAGAAAGCUAAUACAUCAUUCCUCCACAAAUUGGCCACACAAGUAUGAAUGUGACAUAAUGUAACUUCAACUAAUUGCUGCAGGACUUCUGUUUUUAUUGCUAUUAUUCGUGUGAACAAUUAAACCCCAACCCCCAGAAUAAGCCUCAACCAUUUUUUUUGAAGUAAACUCUCUAUUGUAAUUGUUUCAAAACCUAAGGUAUGUGAUUAAUAAAACAGUUACCUUUUUUUCUUUAGCUAUAUGGCAAGUGGAUGAAAUUGAAUAAAUUAAUAGCAAAAGAGGUAGAGGAAGCCUACAGAAAACUUGGUGGAAAAUCCUUAGACAUGUCAUAGAUUAUGAUGACCUUACAAAGGAUAUUGCCAUUGAUGGAGAUAUUUGGAGAUUCUUCUAUUUCAUCCACUUGCCAUAUAUCUGAAAAAAGAAAGAGGCAGAGGAAGCCUAAAGAAAACUUGGUGGAAAAUCCUUAGACAUGACAUAGGUUAUGAUGAUCUUAAAAGGUUAUUGCCAUAGAUGGAGAUAUUUGGAGAGGUAGAAUUUAUGUAGUUGACCCUGAGCUAGUGAGAUUAAGGCUUGUGAUUAUUGUUCUAUUGGACUGUGUAACUUCUUGAUUAUUCUUCACAAACUAGUAUGUUAGGAACUGUGAUGAUUAUUUCCAUGUAGUCCUUCAGGUUGCUCAUUACUAGAAACUACAUGAUGUUGCUUAAGUUACUACUUGGAUUUUAGCUCACACAAGUUUUCAUUUUCCUUCUAUUGAUACCAACUCCUAUCCUGAAUAUCCUGUUUUCCUCAAAAAUAAAUAUUAUAUCCGUGUUAACAUGCAUUCUCUCUGUUUCGUUCAGUUACCUUGGUUAGUGUUCAUUGAUGAAGUGGUAUAGCAUGGACACCUACUUAUGUUAUUCUUUAUUCUAAUUGUUCAUUUUUAUUAAAUUUUGUAUAAGCGAGGACAAGCCUUUACAGCAAUGGUAAGGUUGCUCUUUUGUGGCUGAAAUGUCAUGGAUUCGAGUUGAAGAAAUAGUCUCUUUUGAAAAAAUAAGGAUAAGACUGCAUACAAAGACAACCCUUUUUCGACUUACAAGGAGGGAGCCUCGCCCAUUGAAGAUGCCCUUUAUUAAAAUCUGUAUAAGAAUUUCUAUUCAAACACAGUGAUUGAUAUGGAGCUUCUUUUUUUUUUUUGUGUGUGUGUGUGUGUGUGUGUACUUUUUAAUUAUUUGAGAAGCUGAAACAAUUAAGCUGCUGGUGAACUAUUGAACCAAUACUGACUUGUUAAAUUACCUCUCAUUAUGAUAACUAUUCCCUAACUAUGAUAAAGGCCAUCUGUGGAUUGAGUAAUUCCUUCAACAUUUCUACCGUUGAAGGUGUUCUGCAUAUAUGCAACCAGUCUCAGACCAAGAUAAAGGAGGAAGUUGCAUUAGGCGGGUGACCGUGUAAAACUCAUCAAAUAAAAAGACGUGAGAUAUGAUAACUAUGUAAAUAGUGGAUAUUCUGCCCUCAUCAUAUCAUUAAUGCCAUACUGCUAUUUCUCUC